GUCACUAAAUCACCACCACCAGGCUUCUUGUAUAGGAAGAAAAUAAUUGCCUUUUUGCUUAAUGUAUAGCAAUGUAUAGCAAUGCUUAUUCUUUAGUCAGGUACUCAAUUGCAUUCAAAAUUAAUCUUAAUCGAAACAUGAUCCUUUAUUUCUCUGUAAAGUGCAACAAGCACUGUAACGGAGUAAGUGCUCAGUAACAUUUCAAACAACUACUGGUCAUGUUGAAUCGUGUGUGAAGCAAUCUGUUUGUUUUUGAAAAUAUUGAUAAAUUUAAGUAUUUUCUUUUUAAUCAAAACCUGUAGCUGACCUACAGAUCAAUUUUUAAAAAGACAAACUAAUAUCAAAUACCUACUAAAAGUACCAGACAGCGUUUCUUCUACUGCGCCAUAGGUUGUCAGACUUAGCUGGACAAGUAUCACAAGGGAAGCCUAGUGUGCUGCUGUCCAUAAGGUUGCAAAGAGUCAGACAUGACAGCAACUGAACUGAACUGAACUCUGGUUCCUAAUUCUUAGGAACCAGAAAUGCAGUCAAACACAUGAGACAUACGUGCUGCUUAAGUCAUUAUGUUUGAGGUAUAUCAUUCAUUCUUAGGAAGGAGGAGGCAAAAGAAACGAAAAUCAAGGUAAUCAAAAGUCUGGCCUGAAGGAGUUGCAAGUGUAAGUGGGAAAGAAGAGGAAGGAGAGAGUGAGAUAGGGAAUGAUAGAUCAAAACAGCUGAUUCUCUUUACUCUUCUGUCUUCCAACAAGCUCAGCUGUCUUUUAAAAAGAAGACAUGUCUUAAGAAGGAGCAAUCUGCAAGCCAGCCAGAAGCAGAGACGCCAUUGAUUGACCUGUGGAAAGCUCUCCUAUUAAUCCACUACUAGAUGCAUUCUAAGAAUGCCAACUGCAUUAUUCAGCCAUGGAAGAACUCCACUUGGAGGGAGUCGUGAUAAAUCAGAGCAUCAGCCCUUUCCGCUUGGACACCAAUAAGUCCUGCACUUCAAAAUUGCUGACCUAAAAAGGAUGCUCGAGAAGGAGCAAGGUUUUUUUUUUUUUCCUUGUAAAGAAAGCAACACCAGAAGCAGUGUGACUUCCUUGUUCACUUAGAUGCAUGCAAAAAAGAAAAGGUCACUGUCUUUGCUUCAGGACCUUCUUCCUUCCACCCUCACAGCAUGUGCCUGUGGACUGCCUGCUGAGGAACAUCCUACUGAGAACUUCCAGAUCAUUCCGUGAGAUGGUAACAGAAAGGAACCAAGGUGAAAAGAGAUGGGUGGUGUGGGGAACUCCCUGGUGAUCCAGUGGUUAAGACUCUUGUUCCACUGCAACAGGUGUGGGUUUGAUCCUGGUUGACUGAAUGGCAUGGCCAAAAAGCAAAAAUAAAAAAAGAUGAAUGAGAUUCC